rnacentral:tRNA from 1 species
GGUGCCGUAGGGGGCGGGACCGGUCCCGUACGGCUCGGGACCGGUGCCGAAGGAGGCGGGAGCCGCAUCGGUCCCGUACGGCUCGGGACCGGUGCCG